UACGAGGGGGGCGAGCGUUGUUCGGAAUUAUUGGGCGUAAAGGGUGCGUAGGGGGUUUGUUAAGUCUGCUGUGAAAGCCCCGGGCUCAACCUGGGAAUGGCAGUGGAUACUGGCAAGCUAGAGUGCGAUAGAGGGGUGUGGAAUUCCCGGUGUAGCGGUGAAAUGCGUAGAGAUCGGGAGGAAUACCUAUGGCGAAGGCAGGUUACUGGGCCAUCACUGACGCUGAGCUGCGAAAGCUAGGGGAGCAAACAGG
rnacentral:rRNA from 1 species